UACGAAGGUCCCAAGCGUUAUCCGGAUUUAUUGGGUUUAAAGGGUGCGUAGGCGGACUAUUAAGUCAGUGGUGAAAGCCCCAAGCUUAACUUGGGAACUGCCAUUGAUACUGAUGGUCUUGAGUACAUUUGGGGUGGGCGGAAUGUGUCAUGUAGCGGUGAAAUGCUUAGAUAUGACACAGAACACCGAUUGCGAAGGCAGCUCACUAAACUGUAACUGACGCUGAGGCACGAAAGCGUGGGGAGCAAACAGG
rnacentral:rRNA from 1 species